GCUUCCUUAGCUCAGCAGGCAGAGCGCAUCCAUGGUAAGGAUGAGGUCGCCGGUUCGAGUCCGGCAGGAAGCUCCA
rnacentral:tRNA from 2 species